GACGAACGCUGGCGGCGUGCUUAACACAUGCAAGUCGAACGGUAAGGCCCUUCGGGGUACACGAGUGGCGAACGGGUGAGUAACACGUGGGUGAUCUGCCCUGCACUUCGGGAUAAGCCUGGGAAACUGGGUCUAAUACCGGAUAGGACCCUGGGAUGCAUGUCCUGGGGUGGAAAGCUUUUGCGGUGUGGGAUGGGCCCGCGGCCUAUCAGCUUGUUGGUGGGGUGAUGGCCUACCAAGGCGACGACGGGUAGCCGGCCUGAGGGGGUGACCGGCCACACUGGGACUGAGAUACGGCCCAGACUCCUACGGGAGGCAGUAGUGGGGAAUAUUGCACAAUGGGCGCAAGCCUGAUGCAGCGACGCCGCGUGAGGGAUGACGGCCUUCGGGUUGUAAACCUCUUUCAGCACCGACGAAGCGCAAGUGACGGUAGGUGCAGAAGAAGGACCGGCCAACUACGUGCCAGCCGCCGCAGUAA
rnacentral:rRNA from 1 species